rnacentral:rRNA from 1 species
AGAGUUUGAUCCUGGCUCAGAGCGAACGCUGGCGGCAUGCUUAACACAUGCAAGUCGCACGGUCAGCAAUGGCAGUGGCGGACGGGUGAGUAACACGUAGGAAUCUAUCCCAGGGUGGGGGACAACAGCGGGAAACUGCUGCUAAUACCGCAUGAUACCUGAGGGUCAAAGGCGCAAGUCGCCUUGGGAGGAGCCUGCGUCUGAUUAGCUUGUUGGUGAGGUAAAGGCUCACCAAGGCUACGAUCAGUAGCUGGUCUGAGAGGAUGAUCAGCCACAUUGGGACUGAGACACGGCCCAAACUCCUACGGGAGGCAGCAGUGGGGAAUAUUGGACAAUGGGCGAAAGCCUGAUCCAGCAAUGCCGCGUGUGUGAAGAAGGUCUUCGGAUUGUAAAGCACUUUUGGCAGGGACGAUGAUGACGGUACCUGCAGAAUAAGCCCCGGCUAACUUCGUGCCAGCAGCCGCGGUAAUACGAAGGGGGCUAGCGUUGCUCGGAAUGACUGGGCGUAAAGGGCGCGUAGGCGGCAUGUACAGUCAGAAGUGAAAUUCCUGGGCUCAACCUGGGGACUGCUUUUGAUACGUGCAGGCUAGAGUGAGGAAGAGGGUUGUGGAAUUUCCAGUGUAGAGGUGAAAUUCGUAGAUAUUGGAAAGAACACCGGUGGCGAAGGCGGCAACCUGGUCCUU